GGCGACGUGGCCAAGUGGUAAGGCGCGGGUCUGCAAAACCCUUAUCACCGGUUCAAAUCCGGUCGUCGCCU
rnacentral:tRNA from 1 species